GACGAACGCUGGCGGCGUGCCUAAUACAUGCAAGUCGAGCGCAGGAAGCUGACGGAACUCUUCGGAGGGAAGGCAGUGGAAUGAGCGGCGGACGGGUGAGUAACACGUAAGGAACCCGCCUCAAGGAUUGGGAUAACUCCGAGAAAUCGGAGCUAAUACCGGAUAGUUCAACGGACCGCAUGGUCCGCUGAUGAAAGGCGCUCCGGCGACACCUUGAGAUGGCCUUGCGGUGCAUUAGCUAGUUGGUGGGGUAACGGCCCACCAAGGCGACGAGGCAUAGCCGACCUGAGAGGGUGAUCGGCCACACUGGGACUGAGACACGGCCCAGACUCCUACGGGAGGCAGCAGUAGGGAGACUUCCACAAUGGACGAAAGUCUGAUGGAGCAACGCCGCGUGAGUGAUGAAGGUUUUCGGAUCGUAAAACUCUGUUGUAAGGGAAGAACACGUACGAGAGGGAAUGCUCGUACCUUGACGGUACCUUACGAGAAAGCCACGGCUAACUACGUGCCAGCAGCCGCCGUAACAC
rnacentral:rRNA from 1 species